rnacentral:lncRNA from 1 species
AUUGGCUCGUCACGAAUGCUAGUUUGUUGUAGAACCCUUUCGACGGCUGAUGCUGAUCGAACUCCUUCGAUCUUGAUCUGCCGACUCUUUGGAUGCUCUGGUUCAUCAGCAGAUAUACUUGAGAGGUUGAUGAAUCUCUCUCUAAAAUUUGAUGGGCUCACGAUACUCGUAGCUCACCUUCUCACUUCUCGAACCCUAGGC